rnacentral:rRNA from 1 species
UACCAGCCGCGGUAAUUCCAGCUCCAAUAGCGUAUAUUAAAGUUGCUGCAGUUAAAAAGCUCGUAGUUGGAUUUGUGGCGCGGCCGUCCGGCGGGGCUCCUUCAUUGGGGCCGUUUGUCUGGUUUUUCGGCCGCCCCAUUCUCGGGUAGUGUGUCGCUGGCAUUAGGUUGUCGGCUUCUUCACGCCCGUCGUUUACUGUGAAAAAAUUAGAGUGUUCAAAGCAGGCUUAGGCCGUUGGAUACAUUAGCAUGGAAUAAUGAGAUAGGGCCACGACGGUCUAUUUUGUUGGUUUGCACGUUGUGGUAAUGAUUAACAGGAACGGUUGGGGGUAUUCGUAUUCAAUUGUCAGAGGUGAAAUUCUUGGAUUUAUGGAAGACGAACUACUGCGAAAGCAUUUACC